UCGGGAAUUUUGGGCAAUGGGCGAAAGCCUGACCCAGCAACGCCGCGUGAAGGAUGAAGUAUUUCGGUAUGUAAACUUCGAAAGAAUAGGAAGAAUAAAUGACGGUACUAUUUAUAAGGUCCGGCUAACUACGUGCCAGCAGCCGCGGUAAUACGUAGGGUGCAAGCGUUAAUCGGAAUUACUGGGCGUAAAGCGUGCGCAGGCGGUUGUGUAAGUCAGAUGUGAAAUCCCCGGGCUCAACCUGGGAAUUGCAUUUGAGACUGCAUGGCUAGAGUGUGUCAGAGGGGGGUAGAAUUCCACGUGUAGCAGUGAAAUGCGUAGAUAUGUGGAGGAAUACCGAUGGCGAAGGCAGCCCCCUGGGAUAACACUGACGCUCAUGCACGAAAGCGUGGGGAGCAAACAGGAUUAGAUACCCUAGUAGUCCCUGAGCGGGCUGGCA
rnacentral:rRNA from 1 species